CAAUUAGGGAGAGCCAGGGGGCAGAGCUGAGGAUGGUAGGAAUUACAAAAGAGCAAGUGCUAAAAGAGCUAAAAGGUCUAAAAAUUGAUAAAUCUCCUGGCCCCAAUGGGCUAUAUCCUAGAGUUCUGAACAAGGUGGCUGAGGAAAUAGCAGAGGCUUUGGCUAUGAUCUUUCAAAAGUCAGUGUAGUUUUUUUUUGAGUGCGAGCAGCAGCGGAGGCAAGACGGACCCGGAAGACUGCAGCUAAGGUAAAGCAGUUUAUUUUUAAAAUUACUUACCGGUAGCGGGCAGCGGUGUUUUUCCUCUUUCAGAGAAGGAGCGGGAGCAGCAGAGGAAGUGACGAGGACCAGAGGGGCAGCCGGGAAGGAAAGCAGUGAGUAUAAAUACUCACCCUUCGACGCCAACGGCCAUUAUGAGUGCGAGCAGCAGCAGAGGCAAGAUGGACCCGGAAGACUGCAGCUAAGAUGCGGAUAAAGUUCUCCAAGCUGACAGAAAUUGAAAGCACUCGCAUCCUGUGACGAUGGGGUAGGAGUGGAAGAAUCAGAGUGUUUCUUUGAAAAUUGGCUUGAUGUGUCUGUCCAAGGGUCAUCUGGAGGAAAAAAUACAAGUAUAUCUUCAAACAAGUAGCUGAACCCACAGAUUUAUGUGACCAACGAAGCCUGAGCCUUUUGCUUCACGAUGCAGUCCAGAUCCCUCGGCAGCUGGGUGAGGUAGCUUCAUUUGGAGGCAGCACCAUUGAACCAAGUGUCCGCAGUUGCUUCCAACAUGCACUCAGACAUGAACUAAUGGAUAAGGAGGAGACAAUCAUAACUGCUUUGGAUUCAGCCCAUAGAAGGGCCAGAGGAGCCGCGCUGACACCUUCAUGUUUAAACAGAGGACACUUUUCUGCGUGCCACGAGAUGUAUAUCAGCCAUACCAAAAUGCUGCCUUUGCCUGAGACAGGGAAGAUCAACUGACUUUGGGGAAAUGGAGAAUCAUUCAUGAAUCCAGUUACUUUCUGAUCUGACAGCUUUGUGGCAUCUGAAUGGAUAACAAUUUGAUCUGGUAAUCUCAAUUGAUAGAGUGCAAAUGUGUAGUGAUGCAUUUUGGGAGCUCUGGUAAGUGAAAGAUGUUCACAAUGACUAGUAGAUCCCUAGAGAGCACUGAGAAACAAAGGGACCUUGAUGUCCAAAAGCAAGAGUUCAUGCCCUCUGCUUCUGGCCUUUCAGGCAAAGUUGGAUCCAACACUCCACUGAGUCUUAGAUCCCAUGAGCUCUUGUUUUGUUGACCAGUCUGCUAUCACUGACCUUAUCAAAAACAUAUAGACCACAUCAGAUGAAUUUCCCUCUUCAACACUUCUGAUAUCUCCUCAAUAAAAAUUAGAUAAAAUUUGCAAACCAUGGCAUUACCUCAACAAAGCCAUGCUGACUAUCCCCGAACAUUCCAUGUUUCUCCAAGUGCAGCGACAUUUUGUCCCUUAAAAUUCUUUCUGAUAACUUCCCUACCACCAAGGUUAGACUGGCUUGUAACUUCUGGAUCUGUCCUUUCUUCUUUUAUAUAAAAGUAUGAGCGGUCCUCUGGCACCUUAGCUGUGGCCAGAAAUGACUUGAAAAAUCUUUGCCAGGACCUUUUGAUAUCUCCUCCCCUGCUUCAUAAAGUCAUGCAGUACAGAAACACGCUCACUUGAUCAACAUCAAUGCCAACUAACAAACAUCAAACUACUGAUCCCAUUUACCUGCACUGAGUCAUUACCUGCCAUACCCUGGCCCUUUAAAUGCUCAUCUGUUGCUUCUUUAAUAUUGCAAGCGUAUCUGCCUUCUCCACCUUGUCAAGCAGCAUAUUACAUGUUUGUAUCACUUUUGGUGAAAACACUUGCCUCAGAUCCCCUCUAAAUAGCUGACAGUUUACCUGAAAUCUAUGCCCCCUGACUUAAACUCGUCUACUGGUUCUCACAAUCAAUCUAUGCCUCUCAUAAUUUUGUAUACGUCGAUCAGAUUUCCCCUCAGCCUCCUCUGCUGCAUGGAAAACGCAAUUAGCCUACCAGUUUCUCCUCAUAAAACUUGCAUUCAAUCACAAAACAACACCCUGAAACAUAUACUAUCAACCAACCUGGCCAACAUCUCUGUCUCCGGCUUGCUACAGUGUUCCAGUGAAGCCCAGCACAAGCAGACAGAACAACACCUCAUUUUCUACUUGGGGACCUGACAGCCCUCCAGACUUAACAUUGAGUUCUGCAAUGUUAGGGCCUAAACUCUCCCAUAUCCCAGCGCCCCCACCCCACACACCAACCCUCUGCUCUCAGUAACACUGUCUGCCCGUCACAGGGCCCUCACCCCCUCCUCUAAGUAAUACUGCCCGUCACAGGG